rnacentral:rRNA from 1 species
CCUACGGGUGGCAGCAGUGAGGAAUAUUGGUCAAUGGACGCAAGUCUGAACCAGCCAUGCCGCGUGCAGGAAGACGGCUCUAUGAGUUGUACACUGCUUUUGUACGAGGGUAAACGCAGAUACGCGUAUCUGUCUGAAAGUAUCGUACGAAUAAGGAUCGGCUAACUCCGUGCCAUCAGCCGCGGUAAUACGGAGGAUUCAAGCGUUAUCCGGAUUUAUUGGGUUUAAAGGGUGCGUAGGCGGUCGGAUAAGUUAGAGGUGAAAUCCCGAGGCUCAACUUCGGAAUUGCCUCUGAUACGGUUCGGCUAGAGAGUAGUGGCGGUAGGCGGAAUGUAUGGUGUAGCGGUGAAAUGCUUAGAGAUCAUACAGAACACCGAUUGCGAAGGCAGCUUACCAAGCUACUUCUGACGUUGAGGCACGAAAGCGUGGGGAGCAAACAGGAUUAGAUACCCUUGUAGUC